AAAAAAUUCUCAAUUUUUGUUUUUUGCUACCCUAAGAGGGAAGAUAGGAGAAAUGUCAAAAUCAACACCAAAAUCAACUUUUUCUUCAAACUUUCUUCAACUUUAUCAUCAUCAUCAUCAUCAUCAUAUUCUGCUAAGUCUUUAGAUCAACCUUUUAUUAUUCCUAUAAACACUGCAAAAUCAAAUAUACAACUAGCUACACCAAU
rnacentral:lncRNA from 1 species